rnacentral:rRNA from 1 species
CUACGGGUCGCUGCAGUGAGGAAUAUUGGUCAAUGGGCGCGAGCCUGAACCAGCCAUCCCGCGUGCAGGAUGACGGCCCUAUGGGUUGUAAACUGCUUUUCUAUGCCAAGAAACCCUGUUACGAGUAACAGGUUGCCGGUAGCAUAGGAAUAAGCAUCGGCUAACUCCGGGCCAGCAGCCGCGGUAAUACGGAGGAUGCAAGCGUUAUCCGGAUUCAUUGGGUUUAAAGGGUGCGCAGGUGGGCUUGUAAGUCAGUGGUGAAAUGCUGCCGCUUAACGGUAGAACUGCCAUUGUUACUGCGAGUCUUGAGUAUGGUUGAGGUAGGCGGAAUGUGUUGUGUAGCGGUGAAAUGCAUAGAUAUGACACAGAACGCCAAUUGCGAAGGCAGCUUACUAAGCCAUUACUGACGCUGAGGCACGAAAGCGUGGGGAGCAAACAGGAUUAGAUACCCCUGUAGUC